rnacentral:rRNA from 1 species
UACGGGGGGGGCAAGCGUUGUUCGGAAUUACUGGGCGUAAAGGGCUCGUAGGCGGCCAACUAAGUCAGACGUGAAAUCCCUCGGCUUAACCGGGGAACUGCGUCUGAUACUGGAUGGCUUGAGUUCGGGAGAGGGAUGCGGAAUUCCAGGUGUAGCGGUGAAAUGCGUAGAGAUGUGGAGGAACACCGAUGGCGAAGGCAGCCUCCUGGGCCAAUACUGACGCUCAUGCACGAAAGCGUGGGGAGCAAACAGG